rfam:Nippostrongylus brasiliensis genome assembly, scaffold: NBR_scaffold0000585
ACAACGGUAGCACAGUGGUUAGUGCAGUCUGCCGGAAACAGAAAAACGUGGGUUCAAUUCCCGUCCGAUGUC